rnacentral:lncRNA from 1 species
AAUAGAAACCAAAAGACUUUUGCUCUUCCAUUCAUUGCUUUCCAAUCAAUUAGUUGAUUACUGUAGAAUAAUGUUUUAUACAAGAACAGAGACAAUCCUAUUAUGAUAAAGUUGCAAUACCAGGUCAUGCAAGAAGAUUGCGCGAGUACCAGGUAGCUUAGAGAAGAAAAGGGAAAAAAAUGUAUUAGCAUAAUGAAAGAAAGAACGACAAUAGGACGAUCAUCUAUAUGAAUGUUCUCAAAUGAAUAUUCUUCAACCAAUGGGUAAGACAGAGACUGAAAAGUUUUUUUUCUAUGUCGUUUUGUUUGUCUGUCUUUAUUGUUUUAAGCAGGAAAGAGGGAUUGGUCAUUGAAUUACAGACAAUUAUGGUAUGCCAGUGUGGCACAGCAGCAUUUCUUCAAAGCAAGCACUUCAAUUUUUGACCGACCGUGUAUCAACAUCGAGAACUAAAACAAAGCAUUACCUUCGUGUCAUCUAAAUCAGUCAACACAUAUGUGAACUUCUUUUCCUUGCGAGGACGAACUGAAUUAGACGUGUUCCCUGCACUUCCCACACGGUGCAUCGCAGAAACCCCUAAAGAGAUAAUAGAGUAAAUAAUAAAUACUAAAUAUAUUUAACGUCUCUUGAUUUGUUAUUUCAAGAUGGAAAUACCGAUACUGUCGUAUUUAGGAAUUGUAAAAAAUAAUGAUUAUUUUUAGAGCAGAAAAGUCAAGAAUACCAAGGAUAGUAAAUAAGUCGAUUUACAACAUAUUUCUGGACGUGCUAUUAUAUGUCAGGCUAACAUCAAUCAAGGCUGAUGUUGGGCCACAUAGAGGCUAUAGAACCAAGACAUCAACUUGUCAGGGAUGCUAGAGAGUAAAAUCAAACAAUCUUACCAACACAUUCAGGCAAUCUAGCAAGUAAUUGUUUACCAGAAUCAACAACAAGAAGGUCUACGUUGUAUGUUGCAUAUUCAUUGCAAUGGAAUGCUUCAAUGCUCUAUCCUCUUAAUUAUUUUCCUUCCAAAGUCAUAAACAUGUGGAUAUAUUACAAAAAGAUACUCUACUCAAUACCACAAGAAAUAUCUUUCUUGCAAAAGCACUCCGAAGGAGCAGACCCCCCCCCCCCC